rnacentral:rRNA from 1 species
GGGGCAACCCUGACCGAGCAACGCCGCGUGAGUGAAGAAGUUUUCGGAUCGUAAAGCUCUGUUGUAAGCCAAGAACGAGUGUGAGAGUGGAAAGUUCACACUGUGACGGUAGCUUACCAGAAAGGGACGGCUAACUACGUGCCAGCAGCCGCGGUAAUACGUAGGUCCCGAGCGUUGUCCGGAUUUAUUGGGCGUAAAGCGAGCGCAGGCGGUUUGAUAAGUCUGAAGUUAAAGGCUGUGGCUCAACCAUAGUUCGCUUUGGAAACUGUCAAACUUGAGUGCAGAAGGGGAGAGUGGAAUUCCAUGUGUAGCGGUGAAAUGCGUAGAUAUAUGGAGGAACACCGGUGGCGAAAGCGGCUCUCUGGUCUGUAACUGACGCUGAGGCUCGAAAGCGUGGGGAGCGAACAGGAUUAGAUACCCUGGUAGUCCACGCCGUAAACGAUGAGCGCUAGGUGUUGGAUCCUUUCCGGGAUUCAGUGCCGCAGCUAACGCAUUAAGCACUCCGCCUGGGGAGUACGACCGCAAGGUUGAAACUCAAAGGAAUUGACGGGGGCCCGCACAAGCGGUGGAGCAUGUGGUUUAAUUCGAAGCAACGCGAAGAACCUUACCAGGUCUUGA